AGAGUUUGAUCCUGGCUCAGGACGAACGCUGGCGGUGUGCUUAACACAUGCAAGUCGAACGGUAAGGCCCUUUUUUGGGGUACACGAGUGGCGAACGGGUGAGUAACACGUGAGUAACCUGCCCUCAUCUCUGGGAUAACAGUCGGAAACGGUUGCUAAUACUGGAUAUGAGCUUUCAAGGCAUCUUGUUGGUUGGAAAGAUUAUUUUUUGGUUGGGGAUGGACUCGCGGCCUAUCAGCUUGUUGGUGAGGUAGUGGCUCACCAAGGCUUCGACGGGUAGCCGGCCUGAGAGGGCGACCGGCCACAUUGGGACUGAGAUACGGCCCAAACUCCUACGGGAGGCAGCAGUGGGGAAUAUUGCACAAUGGACGGAAGUCUGAUGCAGCAACGCCGCGUGCGGGAUGACGGCCUUCGGGUUGUAAACCGCUUUCAAUUGUGACGAAGCUUUUUGUGACGGUAGCAGUAGAAGAAGCACCGGCUAACUACGUGCCAGCAGCCGCGGUGAUACGUAGGGUGCGAGCGUUGUCCGGAUUUAUUGGGCGUAAAGAGCUUGUAGGUGGUUUGUCGCGUCGGGAGUGAAAACUCAGGGCUUAACUCUGAGCUUGCUUUCGAUACGGGCUGACUUGAGGGAGGUAGGGGAGAAUGGAAUUCCUGGUGGAGCGGUGGAAUGCGCAGAUAUCAGGAGGAACACCGGUGGCGAAGGCGGUUCUCUGGACCUUUCCUGACGCUGAGAAGCGAAAGCGUGGGGAGCAAACAGGCUUAGAUACCCUGGUAGUCCACGCUGUAAACGGUGGGUACUAGGUGUGGGGGACAUUCCACGUUCUCCGUGCCGUAGCUAACGCAUUAAGUACCCCGCCUGGGGAGUACGGCCGCAAGGCUAAAACUCAAAGGAAUUGACGGGGCCCCGCACAAGCGGCGGAGCAUGCGGAUUAAUUCGAUGCAACGCGAAGAACCUUA
rnacentral:rRNA from 1 species